AUUACUGUUCUUGAGUCUGUUCAAGUGGUUUCAAGCCCUAUGUUCCAAAAUCCCUAUGUUCCGAAAUCCCUCAUAAUGUUCUGACAAACUAUAUCAAAUCAUGUACAUGCAUUGGAUGGCGUUUACAAGUUGUGAUAUAUAGCCACUACGAUGAUACAUAAUACCGCCAGAAGGAAACAAAGCACAAUCAACUGUCGCUAUGUACCUUCAUACAAAAACCUGCAUGAGCAUACAGAAAGUCAAGAGAAAACGGACGUAUACUGUCAAAAACUUUCAUUUAACUUUGGUCCGUCACAACCACUAAAUAAAUCUUUACGGCUAGUGUAGUGAUAAAAAAAUGGCGGGCAAAUGGUGGCGUACGUUCAAUUUUGUCCGUAACAACCGUAGGCCUGGGCUAUGUAAAGGUUCCUCACACUUUUACACCAGCUGUACAAAAUGUAGGUCACCAACCUAAAUUCAAGAUUGCUGUUGAAUCAUACUCGUCUUGUGCCGUGAGCACAUGUACAUGUGAUUAUUGUCUACAAAUAUGGUGAUGAAUGUAACCGCUAUUGAAGCCUUUUUAAAAAUGUGCUGAACACGUGGAUGUCUGAAGUGUGCAUACCGCGGAAAUUUCAGCUGCACUAUUAAAUCUCCUUAAAUUCAUCGAUAAUUUAUUUGGCGGUAUUAUGAUUAGUGGCGGUAUUAUGGUAAUUGAUGAUAGUUUGUGGGCCAAAAAUAUUACACAGUGCUUACCUUUACUUUCAAAUCUAACAAACACGUCUUUUUGCAUGUAGUUAAACUGAUGUGUACUGUUUAUUUAAUCACCAGAUCCAAAAUGGUUGUAUCUCCUCUUUAAGACAAGAGAGGAUGGCAAGCCAAAAGGCUUGGUAUGCGAUGCCAAGAGAGUGGUUGUCCCAAAAGGGAAGACCAGGAGAGAGGUUGCCAAAGUUGGCAACCGGGUCACAGUAGUUGACAAGGAUGGGGAGCAUGAGGGAACUGUGCUCUUCAGCACUACAGGGGAUCACUCCGAGGCAUCUUCCUUUGGUCUAAGUCUUGACAAGAAACUUGAUCAUGAUGGCAAGGACAAAGCUAAGGGGAAAGCUGCAGAGAGAACUCAAAGUAAAAAAGGAGCAAAACGGACGUCAACUAAGGCCAAUGAUGAGGCCACCAAAAAGACCAAAGACCAAAGUACAAAGAAGAAGAAGAAGGCACCGACACCUCACGACAUUGCCCUUGCCAAGCAUAGACAAGCUGCCAUGAAUGGUUCUGCCGAUGAGCUGUUGCAGUUGAUGGUAAGUUCUCUUAACACGCAUGUACGGUGCAUGUAGACAAGGGACACAGCAAAAAGGAAAAUCAAUACACACCAAACAUCAAAUUGAGAAUUUACACAAUUCUACCUUAUUUUGUACCUUAGGUACUAUCAGUAAAUGUAUUGUGUUUUAUAAUGUUUGUCCAUCUAAAAUGACAAAAACUAUUGCUCAAAUAAG